CCACAUCUAUCUAUAAUAUAAAGAUCAUCUAUAUGCUAUAUAGGGGAUGCAGGGCACAAGAGCAAUAGAGCACUGCAGAGUAACUACGGAGGGAAGCUCUGGAGCUAGUGUAGAUGAGGGAAUAUGUAGUGGGUGGGCAAGCAGUCGGCUAGCUAACUGGAAAUCUCCAUUCUUAUAGGGAUCAAGCGGAUAUAGCUAGCUAGGUAGCAAUCUCUAUUUGAAUAGGGAUCUGAGGGAUAUAGAGCAGAUAGGCUCCUAGCUAGCCAGGAAUAUCUAUUUGAAUAGAAAUCUCAAUCUAAUAGCGAUGUAGCAAAUAUCAGACAGGCACCUUGCUAGCUAGGAAUAUCCAUUCAAAUAGUGGUCGAUCGGAUAUCGGGAAGGGAGGUAGGUAUCUCGAAAUCGCUAUUCAAAUAACGAUCGAGCAAGGAUAGAGCAGCUAGGCACCUAGCACGUUAGCAACUCCGAUUCCCAUAGGGGUCAAAGGUAGGAUGGGGCAAGCGGGAAGGUAGCUAGAAAUCUCUAACACCUACACCAAUCGCAUCAUCAAUAUGCCUUGCAAUAAUCUUAGCCAAUGAUUCGACACAUAAUGGCCCACCAGAGAAGGAAUCAAUU
rnacentral:sRNA from 2 species